rnacentral:rRNA from 1 species
GAUGAACGCUGGCGGCGUGCCUAAUACAUGCAAGUCGAGCGAACGGACGAGAAGCUUGCUUCUCUGAUGUUAGCGGCGGACGGGUGAGUAACACGUGGAUAACCUACCUAUAAGACUGGGAUAACUUCGGGAAACCGGAGCUAAUGCCGGAUAAUAUUUUGAACCGCAUGGUUCAAAAGUGAAAGACGGUCUUGCUGUCACUUAUAGAUGGAUCCGCGCUGCAUUAGCUAGUUGGUAAGGUAACGGCCUACCAAGGCAACGAUGCAUAGCCGACCUGAGAGGGUGAUCGGCCACACUGGAACUGAGACACGGUCCAGACUCCUACGGGAGGCAGCAGUAGGGAAUCCUCCGCAAUGGGCGAAAGCCUGACGGAGCAACGCCGCGUGAGUGAUGAAGGUCUUCGGAUCGUAAAACUCUGUUAUUAGGGAAGAACAUAUGUGUAAAUAACUGUGCACAUCUUGACGGUACCUAAUCAGAAAGCCACGGCUAACUACGUG